rnacentral:rRNA from 1 species
CCUACGGGAGGCAGCAGUGGGGAAUAUUGCACAAUGGGGGGAACCCUGAUGCAGCGACGCCGCGUGGGUGAAGGAGCACCUCGGUGCGUAAAGCCCUAUCGGCAGGGAAGAAAAGCGAACAGGUUCGCCUGGACGGUACCUGACUAAGAAGCCCCGGCUAACUACGUGCCAGCAGCCGCGGUAAUACGUAGGGGGCAAGCGUUAUCCGGAUUCACUGGGUGUAAAGGGAGCGUAGACGGCGGCGCAAGUCUGGAGUGAAAGCCCGGGGCCCAACCCCGGGACUGCUCUGGAAGCUGCGGCGGUGGAGGACGGGAGGGGCAGGCGGAAUUCCUGGUGUAGCGGUGAAAUGCGUAGAUAUCAGGAGGAACACCGGCGGCGAAGGCGGCCUGCUGGACCGUGACUGACGUUGAGGCUCGAGAGCGUGGGGAGCAAACAGGAUUAGAUACCCGAGUAGUC